UCUUGAAUUCCUUGUUUCUAUUAUUAUCAAUAUUUACAUCCCAUGAUUGCUCAUAGAUUUACUAUUUGUUUCACGUGAUUCUUUUUAGAAAUGAUCAAAUCGAAGCUAUCUCUACCCGGCUUCCAGUUGACAAGGCUGACCUGAAAAAUUUCUUUCCCAAGUCUUGGUGUGAUCGCUAUGGUGAUGUCGUGUUAAAUGUGGUCAAAAAAGAAUUCAAGGACCAUGUUGGAGAAAUGGAGGGUUUGAGAAAUGCUGCCAGGGAGAAACAGAACGGCUCCAAAAGAUGGGCAACAUUCGAUGAUGAUGAAAACUGUCACCCAAAUCUUUUUGCUCCUCAGGAAAAUUCAUUUACAACGAAGCAAGCAAAGCAUAGUAGCCCUUUGAAGGAUGAUCGCGCUUACAAGUGCUUCAAAAAUAAUCCUUUCUUUCCGGAUUAUGACCAAACCAGGUUCGAUGGGAAUAAGCAGAGACCAGAAUCGGCAAAUAUUCAAGACCAGAAUCCCUUCUGGAGACCAAGGCAUGGCUACUCCAUGUUGGGUUAGAUGAAAACUAGAGUCCCAGUUCAUUUUAAUGCUAUUUGGGUUAUUUGCAUCAAGGAUCUAUUAUUGAAGAACAUUGUUCUUCAAAUAGAUUCUUCUGUUGUUUUACUUGUAUUCUUUAUGGGAUUUACUCCAUAUGUGCAGUAAAUUUGAAGGGUAUUAUGCUCUAAGGCAAUAACAGCCACUGUUAACUGCAAUUUUAA